GUGCCAGCCGCCGCGGUAAUACGGAGGGUGCAAGCGUUAAUCGGAAUUACUGGGCGUAAAGCGCACGCAGGCGGUCUGUCAAGUCGGAUGUGAAAUCCCCGGGCCCAACCUGGGAACCGCAUUCGAAACUGGCAGGCUAGAGUCUUGUAGAGGGGGGUAGAAUUCCAGGUGUAGCGGUGAAAUGCGUAGAGAUCUGGAGGAAUACCGGUGGCGAAGGCGGCCCCCUGGACAAAGACUGACGCUCAGGUGCGCAAGCGUGGGGAGCAAACAGGAUUAGAUACCCUGGUAGUCCACGCCGUAAACGAUGUCGACUUGGAGGUUGUGCCCUUGAGGCGUGGCUUCCGGAGCUAACGCGUUAAGUCGACCGCCUGGGGAGUACGGCCGCAAGGUUAAAACUCAAAUGAAUUGACGGGGGCCCGCACAAGCGGUGGAGCAUGUGGUUUAAUUCGAUGCAACGCGAAGAACCUUACCAACUCUUGACAUCCAGAGAACUUAGCAGAGAUGCUUUGGUGCCUUCGGGAACUCUGAGACAGGUGCUGCAUGGCUGUCGUCAGCUCGUGUUGUGAAAUGUUGGGUUAAGUCCCGCAACGGGCGCAACCCUUAUCCUUUGUUGCCAGCGGUCCGGCCGGGAACUCAAAGGAGACUGCCAGUGAUAAACUGGAGGAAGGUGGGGAUGACGUCAAGUCAUCAUGGCCCUUACGAGUAGGGCUACACACGUGCUACAAUGGCGCAUACAAAGAGAGGCGAACUCGCGAGAGCAAGCGGACCUCAUAAAGUGCGUCGUAGUCCGGAUUGGAGUCUGCAACUCGACUCCAUGAAGUCGGAAUCGCUAGUAAUCGUAGAUCAGAAUGCUACGGUGAAUACGUUCCCGGGCCUUGUACACACCGCCCGUCACACCAUGGGAGUGGGUUGCAAAAGAAGUAGGUAGCUUAACCUUCGGGAGGGCGCUUACCACUUUGCGAUUCAUGACUGGGGUGAAGUCGUAACAAGGUAGCC
rnacentral:rRNA from 1 species